rnacentral:rRNA from 1 species
UGAGGAAUAUUGGUCAAUGGGCGCGAGCCUGAACCAGCCAAGUCGCGUGAGGGAAGACGGUCCUAUGGAUUGUAAACCUCUUUUGUCAGGGAGCAAAAGGCGUCACGUGUGACGCAAAGGAGAGUACCUGAAGAAAAAGCAUCGGCUAACUCCGUGCCAGCAGCCGCGGUAAUACGGAGGAUGCGAGCGUUAUCCGGAUUUAUUGGGUUUAAAGGGUGCGUAGGCGGAUAGUUAAGUCAGCGGUAAAAUUGAGAGGCUCAACCUCUUCGAGCCGUUGAAACUGGUUAUCUAGAGUGAGUGAGAAGUACGCGGAAUGCGAGGUGUAGCGGUGAAAUGCAUAGAUAUCACGCAGAACUCCGAUUGCGAAGGCAGCGUACCGGCACUCAACUGACGCUGAAGCACGAAAGCGUGGGUAUCGAACAGG